GAACGCACCUUGCGCCCUUUGGCUAUUCCGAAGGGCAUGCCUGUUCGAGCGUCAUUUAAACCUUCAAGCUAUGCUUGGUGUUGGGUGUUUGUUCCGCCUCAGCGCGUGGACUCGCCUCAAAUUCAUUGGCAGCCGGUAUGUUGGCUUCGUGCGCAGCACAUUGCAAGCGAUUUCAGCAGACCCCCUUCCACAAGCCUUUUUUUACUUUGACCUCGGAUCAGGUAGGGAUACCCGCUGAACUUAAG
rnacentral:misc_RNA from 1 species